GACGAACGCUGGCGGCGUGCCUAAUACAUGCAAGUCGAACGCAAAACUUUCACCGAAUGCUUGCAUUCACGAAAGUUUUGAGUGGCGAACGGGUGAGUAACACGUGGGUAACCUGCCCAGAAGAGGGGGAUAACACUUGGAAACAGGUGCUAAUACCGCAUAAUAACAAAAACCGCAUGGUUUUUGUUUGAAAGAUGGAUUUGCUAUCACUUCUGGAUGGACCCGCGGCGUAUUAGCUAGUUGGUAAGGUAAAGGCUUACCAAGGCGAUGAUACGUAGCCGAACUGAGAGGUUGAUCGGCCACAUUGGGACUGAGACACGGCCCAAACUCCUACGGGAGGCAGCAGUAGGGAAUCUUCCACAAUGGACGAAAGUCUGAUGGAGCAACGCCGCGUGAGUGAAGAAGGUUUUCGGAUCGUAAAACUCUGUUGUUAGAGAAGAACGUGUGUGAGAGUAACUGCUCAUGCAGUGACGGUAUCUAACCAGAAAGCCACGGCUAACUACGUGCCAACCGCCGCAGUAA
rnacentral:rRNA from 1 species